CGCCUGCAUAUAUGCUGCAAUUCCAUUGAUUUCCAGGGUACUUUACCCAAGAGCCUAGUAAUGCUCCUCAAUUCAGAAUACCACAUUUUUAAUAAUAGUAGAACAUAUGCCAAGGAACAAGGAAUCAAGCAGGCGGAUUUCGGCUAAUAUAGUGGAAAAUCAUAUGCUACAUACUUUAAUUAGAAUUUGGCUCUCAUCUAAUCCUUUAUUGUUUAAGAAUGCAAUAGCAUCAGUCUUAGUGUGAAUAAUAAGCGUUUUAAUUUAAAAAUCAUAAAUUCAAUCUAACCAUUUAUUUUUCAGUUUCAAAUGCAAGUUAAUUUUUUAAUUAAUACUCACGUCCAAGGCAUUGUGAAGAAAAU
rnacentral:misc_RNA from 1 species